rnacentral:sRNA from 1 species
GCGACAAAGAAGGUUCUGCCCUCCAGAUA